CUGGGAACUGCGUUUGUGACUGCAUAACUAGAGUACGGCAGAGGGGAGGUGGGAAUUCCGCGUGUAGCAGUGAAAUGCGUAGAUAUGCGGAGGAACACCGAUGGCGAAGGCAGCCUCCUGGGGCCAGUACUGACGCUCAUGCACGAAAGCGUGGGGAAGCAAACAGGAUUAGAUACCCUGGUAGUCCACGCCCUAAACGAUGUCAACUAGUUGUUCGGUGAGGAGACUCAUUGAGUAACGCAGCUAACGCGUGAAGUUGACCGCCUGGGGAGUACGGCCGCAAGGUUAAAACUCAAAGGAAUUGACGGGGACCCGCACAAGCGGUGGAUGAUGUGGAUUAAUUCGAUGCAACGCGAAAAACCUUACCUACCCUUGACAUGCCAGGAACUUGCCAGAGAUGGCUUGGUGCUCGAAAGAGAGCCUGGACACAGGUGCUGCAUGGCUGUCGUCAGCUCGUGUCGUGAGAUGUUGGGUUAAGUCCCGCAACGAGCGC
rnacentral:rRNA from 1 species